rnacentral:rRNA from 1 species
ACAGAGGGUGCGAGCGUUGUCCGGAAUCACUGGGCGUAAAGGGCGCGUAGGCGGCUUGGUAAGCGUGCGGUGAAAGCUCGGGGCUCAACCCCGAGUCUGCCGUGCGAACUGCCGAGCUGGAGCACGGUAGAGGCACAUGGAAUUCCGGGUGUAGCGGUGGAAUGCGUAGAGAUCCGGAAGAACACCGGUGGCGAAGGCGGUGUGCUGGGCCGUAGCUGACGCUGAGGCGCGACAGCGUGGGGAGCAAACAGGAUUAGAUACCCUGGUAGUCCACGCCGUAAACGAUGGGCACUAGGCCCUUGGGGGAGCGACCCCCUGAGGACCGGCGCAAACGCAUUAAGUGCCCCGCCUGGGGAGUACGGCCGCAAGGCUG